UCAUCAUCAAACAAGAGGAGGCCUGUCAGU
rnacentral:piRNA from 2 species